UACCGUGUGGCGUGUGAUCUCGGUCGCAGCAGGUGACUGCAAGGACUGAACAGGACCACGGGACCAUGCAUUGAGCGUGCUGCAUGCGCCAGACUCGAGGUGUGAUCAGCAUUGAAAAUAAUGCCUGCCCCAGCUGCCACAUAUGAAAGAGUAGUUUACAAAAACCCUUCUGAGCACCACUACAUGAAAGUCUGCCUAGAAUUUCAAGAUCGUGGAGUUGGACUGAAUGCUGCACAGUUUAAACAGCUGCUUAUUUCAGCCCUAAAAGACCUGUUUGGGGAGGUUGAUGCUGCCUUACCUUUGGAUGUCCUAACUUAUGAAGAGAAGAACUUGUCAGCCAUCUUGAGAAUAUGUAGCAGUGGUCUUGUCAAAUUGUGGAGCUCUUUGACCCUAUUAGGAUCCUAUAAAGGCAAAAAAUGUGCUUUCAGAGUGAUUCAGGUUUCUCCAUUUCUCCUUGCAUUAUCUGGUAAUAGUAGGGAACUAGCAUUGGAUUGAAUGAGUCGUCUUCAAUUUC